GACGAACGCUGGCGGCGUGCUUAACACAUGCAAGUCGAACGGAAAGGCCCUGCUUUUGUGGGGUGCUCGAGUGGCGAACGGGUGAGUAACACGUGAGUAACCUGCCCUUGACUUUGGGAUAACUUCAGGAAACUGGGGCUAAUACCGGAUAGGAGCUCCUGCUGCAUGGUGGGGGUUGGAAAGUUUCGGCGGUUGGGGAUGGACUCGCGGCUUAUCAGCUUGUUGGUGGGGUAGUGGCUUACCAAGGCUUUGACGGGUAGCCGGCCUGAGAGGGUGACCGGCCACAUUGGGACUGAGAUACGGCCCAGACUCCUACGGGAGGCAGCAGUGGGGAAUAUUGCACAAUGGGCGGAAGCCUGAUGCAGCAACGCCGCGUGCGGGAUGACGGCCUUCGGGUUGUAAACCGCUUUCGCCGGUGACGAAGCGUGAGUGACGGUAAUGGGUAAAGAAGCACCGGCUAACUACGUGCCAGCAGCCGCGGUGAUACGUAGGGUGCGAGCGUUGUCCGGAUUUAUUGGGCGUAAAGGGCUCGUAGGUGGUUGAUCGCGUCGGAAGUGUAAUCUUGGGGCUUAACCCUGAGCGUGCUUUCGAUACGGGUUGACUUGAGGAAGGUAGGGGAGAAUGGAAUUCCUGGUGGAGCGGUGGAAUGCGCAGAUAUCAGGAGGAACACCAGUGGCGAAGGCGGUUCUCUGGGCCUUUCCUGACGCUGAGGAGCGAAAGCGUGGGGAGCGAACAGGCUUAGAUACCCUGGUAGUCCACGCUGUAAACGGUGGGUACUAGGUGUGGGGUCCAUUCCACGGGUUCCGUGCCGUAGCUAACGCUUUAAGUACCCCGCCUGGGGAGUACGGCCGCAAGGCUAAAACUCAAAGGAAUUGACGGGGCCCCGCACAAGCGGCGGAGCAUGCGGAUUAAUUCGAUGCAACGCGUAGAACCUUACCUGGGUUUGACAUGGAUCGGGAGUGCUCAGAGAUGGGUGUGCCUCUUUUGGGGUCGGUUCACAGGUGGUGCAUGGCUGUCGUCAGCUCGUGUCGUGAGAUGUUGGGUUAAGUCCCGCAACGAGCGCAACCCUUGUUCACUGUUGCCAGCACGUUAUGGUGGGGACUCAGUGGAGACCGCCGGGGUCAACUCGGAGGAAGGUGGGGAUGACGUCAAGUCAUCAUGCCCCUUAUGUCCAGGGCUUCACGCAUGCUACAAUGGCUGGUACAGAGAGUGGCGAGCCUGUGAGGGUGAGCGAAUCUCGGAAAGCCGGUCUCAGUUCGGAUUGGGGUCUGCAACUCGACCUCAUGAAGUCGGAGUCGCUAGUAAUCGCAGAUCAGCAACGCUGCGGUGAAUACGUUCCCGGG
rnacentral:rRNA from 1 species